rnacentral:snoRNA from 1 species
AUGAUGAUAUCACCUAUUGCCGUUUACCCAGCAGAGGGUUUCUUUGAAGACCUAUUUUGAGACUGANN